rnacentral:rRNA from 1 species
AGAAUCAACGCUGGCGGCGUGCCUCAGACAUGCAAGUCGAACGCGAAAGUUCCCUUCGGGGGCAAGUAGAGUGGCGCACGGGUGAGUAACACGUAGGUAAUCUACCUUUGGAUGGGGAAUAACAACCGGAAACGGUUGCUAAUACCGCAUAAUGCAGCGGCACCUAAUGGUGACAGUUGUUAAAGCGGGGGAUCGAAAGACCUCGCGUCUGAAGAGGAGCCUGCGGCGGAUUAGCUAGUUGGUAGGUAACGCCUACCAAGGCUACGAUCCGUA